AAGAAACUAACUAGGAUUCCCCCAGUAACUGCGAGUGAAGAGGGAAGAGCUCAUCAUUGGAAUCUGGCAGCGUUGCGCUGUCCGAGUUGUAGAUGAGAAGAGUAGGUCAUCUGGACUGCGUGGUGUCCAAGUACAAUAGGCCGUCAGUGGGACAUCAUAGAGGGUGACAAUCCCGUCCUUGACAACCAACGUACGAGUCCAUUACGAUGCCUAUCUCAGAGAGUCGAGCAGUUUGGGAUUUGCUGCUUAAACAUGGGAGGUAGAUUCCUUCUAAAGCUAAAUACAGGCAAGAGACCGAUAGAGAACAAGUACCGCAAGGGAAAGAUGAAAUAGAACUCUGUGAAGGGAGUCAAAAAGACGUGAAAUUGUUGCGAGAGAAGCGAUUCAAGUCAGCGUAGCUAGGCCCAUCAAGCUUCUUGCUUUGGACUAGCUUUGCCAGCGGUCUUGUCCUUUUAGAGACUUGACUUUURACGUGCCCUGUCCGGUCUAACGGGCAGGCCCUUCGGGGCCAGUGGCAUGGCUGGUGGAAUGGCUUGCAAUCGACCCGUCUUGAAACACGGACCAAGGAGUCUAACAUGUGUGCGAGUAUAAGGGUGGCAAACCCGUAUGCGCAAAGAAAGUGAUAGCCUUUUAUGGCUGAGAAUGGCCUGAUGACCGACCAGACAAGCAAUAUUAUGUUCCUCGUACGGUCAUUGCCCAAGUCCCGUGGUCAGAUCCCAUGGACAUGGAGUUAGAGCAUACAUGCUAGGACCCGAAAGAUGGUGAACUAUGCCUGGACAAAGCGAAGCCAAAGGAAACUCUGGUGGAGGCUUGUAGCGAUUCUGACGUGCAAAUCGAUCGUCUGAUCUGGGUAUAGGGGCGAAAGACUAAUCGAACCAU
rnacentral:rRNA from 1 species